CUGCUGCCUUCCGUAGGAGUCUGGGCCGUGUCUCAGUCCCAGUGUGGCCGGCCACCCUCUCAGGCCGGCUACCCAUCGUCGCCUUGGUAGGCCAUUACCCUACCAACUAGCUAAUGGGACGCGAGUCCAUCUUUCAGCGUCAGGUCUCCCCAACUUUUUCCUAUAUAAACAUGCACUUAUAUAACUCAUCCGGCAUUAGCUCACCUUUCGGUAAGUUGUUCCAGUCUAAAAGGCAGGUCACUCACGUGUUACUCA
rnacentral:rRNA from 1 species